rnacentral:SRP_RNA from 1 species
AGGCUGGCGGUGGACGGAAGUCCCGCCAAUCCGGUCAGGUCCGAAAGGAAGCAGCCGUAACGGAAUUUUUCGGGUCAUUUGUCAGUCUCUC